AGCCGGUGCCUAUUCCAGUGAGCAACGGGCAUAAGGCAGGAUACACCCUGGACAGGACGCAAGUCUAUCCCAGGACAGACAGAUUAACCUGCCAGUAUGUGUUUGGACUGUGGGAGGAAACUGGGGAACCCAGUGGAAAUCCAUAUGAACAGGUAGCCAAGGGAAAACGUACACACAGACAGCACCCCAGGUCUGGAACUGAGCCCAGGGCCCCAGUGCUACGAGGCAGCAAUGAUAACUACUACGCCACUGAGCGGCCAAUUUAUGAGACUAAUUGAGUUAAUUGAGUUACGACCAUUUUUCAGCAACUGGAAGGAUGAAUGAGGUGGGAAGAAACCAGAACACCUGGAGAAAGCCCACACACCUGGAUAAAACAUGCAAACUCCACACGGAAGGUACCACCUCCUGGAAUCAAACCCAGGACACAAGAGCUGUGAGCUGUAACAGAACCAAGCAGCCACACCUCUCCUGACUCCAGACACAGCUACAUUCAGAGUCCAAAUCUUUGCGUGUGGAGACGACUGCAUCAUCCUCUCCGAAUUAACAACGCCUGCUUUCACAUUUUGAACAGAAUUUUAAAAAAAAGCAACAAAAGAGUUUCUGUCCCCUCGGUUUUGUGGCCAAAGUGUGAUAUGGAAGCAGGCUGGCUCCCAGGACUCACAACACUUUGGUAUGAGCUAUUCUGCACCACAGGGCUGGAGAGCCAAGAUUCACUCUUCAUUAAAAUUCUCCACCACCGUCUGGAUGGGAGGUGAUAGAA